UCUUUUACCCUGUUUAGGAAGCUGAAAAUAGAAACUAGACUCUCCUUAUGCCUUUUAUCUAGGUUGAACAAAUCCAGUUUCCUCAGCUUCUUGUCCUAUGUCACGUGCUUCACCAGAGAGAUGGAACUUUUCUGUUUGAUGAUCCAAGGUGAUGGCACCAGCAGGGUUAGGAAAUGAUGACAGUAUCUUGAUGACUUCAACAGAGAUGGUUGUUUCUUGGCUGAGUGGUCCUGACUAGAGGGGAGGAAGCUGAAGAUCUGAAUCAUCAUGUAAUAAGCUCUACAACUUUUUAUAAAAGAACCCAGGCUUUA